rnacentral:rRNA from 1 species
UACGAAGGGGGCUAGCGUUGUUCGGAAUUACUGGGCGUAAAGCGCACGUAGGCGGACUAUUAAGUCAGGGGUGAAAUCCCGGGGCUCAACCCCGGAACUGCCUUUGAUACUGGUAGUCUCGAGUCCGAGAGAGGUGAGUGGAAUUCCGAGUGUAGAGGUGAAAUUCGUAGAUAUUCGGAGGAACACCAGUGGCGAAGGCGGCUCACUGGCGCGGUACUGACGCUGAGGUGCGAAAGCGUGGGGAGCAAACAGG